UACAGAGGGCUCAAGCGUUGUUCGGAUUCAUUGGGCGUAAAGGGUGCGUAGGUGGUUGGGUAAGUCAAAUGUGAAAUCCCGGAGCUCAACUCCGGAACUGCAUUCGAUACUGCCAGGCUCGAGGAUUGGAGAGGAGACUGGAAUUCACGGUGUAGCAGUGAACUGCGUAGAGAUCGUGAGGAACACCCGUGGCGAAGGCGGGUCUCUGGACAAUUCCUGACGCUGAGGCACGAAGGCCAGGGGAGCAAACGGG
rnacentral:rRNA from 1 species